GACGAACGCUGGCGGCGUGCUUAACACAUGCAAGUCGAGCGGUAAGGCCCUUUCGGGGGUACACGAGCGGCGAACGGGUGAGUAACACGUGGGUGACCUGCCUUUAGCUCUGGGAUAAGCCUGGGAAACUGGGUCUAAUACCGGAUAUGACUCCGCGGUGCAUGCUGUGGGGUGGAAAGCCUUGUGCGGCUGGAGAGUCGGGCCCGCGGCCUAUCAGCUUGGUUGGUGGGGUGAUGGCCUACCAAGGCGACGACGGGUAGCCGGCCUGAGAGGGCGACCGGCCACAC
rnacentral:rRNA from 1 species